rnacentral:rRNA from 1 species
AGAGUUUGAUCCUGGCUCAGAACGAACGCUGGCGGCGUGGAUAAGACAUGCAAGUCGAGCGAGAUUUUUUCCUGUAGCAAUACAGGGAAAAGUCUAGCGGCGAACGGGUGCUUAACACGUGGGCAACCUGCCGAGAAGUGGGGGAUAGCUCGCCGAAAGGCGAAUUAAUACCGCAUGUGAUUAGAGAGGACAUCCUUUCGAAAUUAAAGUCGGGGCAACCUGACGCUUUUUGUGGGGCCCGCGGCCUAUCAGCUAGUUGGUGAGGUAACGGCCCACCAAGGCUUUGACGGGUAGCUGGUCUGAGAGGACGACCAGCCACACUGGGACUGAGACACGGCCCAGACACCUACGGGUGGCAGCAGUCGAGAAUUUUUCUCAAUGGGGGAAACCCUGAAGGAGCGACGCCGCGUGGAGGAUGAAGGUCUUCGGAUUGUAAACUCCUGUCAUUGGGGAACAAGGUGCAUACGUUAACUGCGUGUGCAUUGAUAGUACCCGAAGAGGAAGAGACGGCUAACUCUGUGCCAGCAGCCGCGGUAAUACAGAGGUCUCAAGCGUUGUUCGGAUUCAUUGGGCGUAAAGGGUGCGUAGGCGGCGCGGUAAGUCGGGUGUGAAAUCUUGGAGCUUAACUCCGAAACUGCAUUCGAUACUGCCGUGCUUGAGGACUGGAGAGGAGACUGGAAUUUACGGUGUAGCGGUGAAAUGCGUAGAUAUCGUAAGGAAGACCAGUGGCGAAGGCGGGUCUCUGGACAGUUCCUGACGCUGAGGCACGAAGGUCAGGGGAGCAAACGGGAUUAGAUACCCCCGUAGUCC